rnacentral:rRNA from 1 species
GACGUAGGGGGCCAGCGUUGCUCGGAAUUACUGGGCGUAAAGCGCGUGUAGGCUGCUUCGCAAGUCGGGUGUGAAAGCCCUGGGCUCAACCUAGGAAGUGCACUCGAAACUGCGAAGCUUGAGUCCUGGAGAGGAAGGCGGAAUUCUCGGUGUAGAGGUGAAAUGCGUAGAGAUCGGGAGGAACACCAGUGGCGAAGGCGGCUACCUGGACCAGCAUUGACACUCAAGCACGAAAGCGUGGGGAGCAAACAGG